rnacentral:rRNA from 1 species
UACGUAGGGUGCAAGCGUUAAUCGGAAUUACUGGGCGUAAAGCGUGCGUAGGCGGCUAUGUAAGACAGAUGUGAAAUCCCUGGGCUUAACCUAGGAACUGCAUUUGUGACUGCAUUGCUAGAGUGUGGUAGAGGGAGAUGGAAUUCCGCAUGUAGCAGUGAAAUGCGUAGAUAUGCGGAGGAACACCAAUGGCGAAGGCAAUCUCCUGGACCUGCACUGACGCUCAU